GUGGAAGGUAAUGUUAGGCGAUGUCUACAACGCACUUUGUUCCGGAUGUCUUUUCGACGGAAAUUUUUUCUGCUAUGCUUUGUUCCAGUUUUCUGUUAGCAUAACGGUGCAUGUUUUUCAAUUUUACUACGUGUAUUUCUUUUUGGACAUUUAUGGCGUAUCUCAAUAUUGCUUUCAAAUAUCACAGUUUUCGUUCAUUAUUUGGAAUAUUGUAAACGAGGUGUUUUUCGGCUGGCUACAGGACCAUGCAUCAGUUGUGUGGCUUCGGUCAAGACAGUUGAAUAUUUUAUACUGCGGACCUUUAUUUGGCUUCGCAUUUUUGUUCGGUUGGUUUAAGUUCUACGACAUCUUUUCUUUGAGAGGCGAUUAUUGGCCGUGCAUUCAUUUGAUUGCAACAUUAUAUUUUUGGACAACGGUGUUGUCUUUUCUCCAUAUGGCACAUUGCUCGUUGUUCACUGAAGUAACCUUUGAUCAUAACUCACGCGUUAGGCUGACAAAGUAUCAACGUGUAGCAGCAAUAUGUGGAUUUUGGGCAGUUCCUCUUGUCGAGUAUGGUUACGACUCCUUUAAUGAAACAGGUCUCUACUGCAGCUUGAUUUUCAUUGCAUUACUUGCAUCAGUGUUUACUUUCAUGACUGGUUACUUCACUGAGUCGAGAAUAAACAGAACGAAGUUGGAGGAAUUGUUUGACCACAAACACUUAGAAGAGCUAUCCUUGUUUUCUUCACAGUAUUUGAGAUUAAAUCUCAAAAUACUAUGGAAUCGGAAGUUUCUCUCGUUUGUUGCGAUGCAAUUUUUAGCAGUCGGACUUCACAAUUUUGGAGCGAAUUUUACUAAGAUUAUCACUGAGGAUUUAAAUCUCUUCGAGGAAACAAAAUUGGGCAAACUUUUGUUUUUUCUAAUCAAUUCAAUCGGAGGAAAUGUUUUGGUCUUAUUUUUUACUCCUUUCUUGGAAAGAUUCGGCUCAGAUGUGGUUACGAAGGCAUCAUUUUUUGUAGUUAUUAUCAGCAGCGUCUCACUCUACUUUUUCCAGAAUUCGUUUCUUGUGAUUAUACAUCUAAUGGUUAUCAAUCUUGUAUCAACGGGAGUGAGUAUUCUUGCGAAUAUUUUUGUCUCUAAUAUUAUAGAGGAAGACCAGAUUCUCCACAGGCGUCCGUUGCCUUUGUCUUCUAUGUUCUUCGCGCUGAC